rnacentral:rRNA from 1 species
ACGUGCCAGCAGCCGCGGUAACACGUAGGAGGCGAGCGUUAUCCGGAUUUAUUGGGCGUAAAGCGCAUGCAGGUGGCUAGGUAAGUCGGGUGUGAAAGCCCCGGACUUAAUCCGGGGAGGUCAUUCGAUACUGCUUGGCUUGAGAGCGGGAGAGGGAAGUGGAAUUCUCGGUGUAGUGGUGAUAUGCGUAGAUAUCGAGAGGAACACCAGUGGCGAAGGCGGCUUCCUGGCCCGUAUCUGACACUAAGAUGCGAAAGCGUGGGUAGCAAACGGACUUAGAUACUCCGGUAGUCCACGCUGUAAACGAUGGGUACUAGGUGUAGGGGGUGUAAAACUCUCUGUGCCAUAGUUAACGCACUAAGUACCCCGCCUGGGGACUACGGUCGCAAGGCUAAAACUCAAAGGAAUUGACGGGGGCCCGCACAAGCAGCGGAGCGUGUGGUUCAAUUCGAAGAUACACGAAGAACCUUACCUGGGCUUGACAUGUUGGUAGUAGUGAAGCGAAAGCGGAACGAUCCUUCGGGAAGCCAUCACAGGUGCUGCAUGGCUGUCGUCAGCUCGUGCCGUGAGGUGUUGGGUUAAGUCCUGUAACGAGCGCAACCCUCGCUGCCAGUUACAAGUGUCUGGCGGGACUGCCGGUGACAAACCGGAGGAAGGUGGGGAUGACGUCAAGUCAGCAUGGCCUUUAUGUCCAGGGCUACACACACGCUACAAUGGCCGGUACAAUAGGUUGCCAAGUCGUGAGGCGGAGCUAAUCCUCAAAAUCGGUCUCAGUUCGAAUUGCAGGCUGCAACCCGCCUGCAUGAAGUUGGAG